AUUUUCGUUGGAGCUGAGCCAAUGCCUAUCACAACGAGUCCAAGCCGCAGGCCCGCACCAAGUCAACCGUCGCUCUCAGCUGCUAUGGCGACAACGGUGGCGGCUGCUGCUGCUGCUGCUUCUAAAACGGCGACGGUGCACUGUAAGAGCCCUGCUGCUCUCCUCGGAAUUGAGUCCCCCUACAGCGGGCGACGGCGCGUUGGUGCAAGGCCGCGAGGCGGCAGCCGACAGGCAGGGCAGAUAGCGGAGCGCCAGAGCGGCCGCGCGAGCCGCGAGCAGCAGGCCAGCGGCAGCGUGGCGCUGCGGGAGCACGUGAGCAGGAGCAGCAGUGCAGCAGGAGUCCGGCGGCGGCGCGGGAGUGCGUUGCGCGCGAGCAGGAGCAGCCAAGCAGCAGCAGCGCCGUAGGAGUGAGAAGGUCUGCAGGGAGCAGCAGCUAGCAUGCCAGCCAGAAGGUUGAUAUGAUGGAAAAGGACUGAAGUUUGGAUCCAAACUUUAAAUCUAAACACAGCCCACGACGAAACGCGCUUCUGAUCUACAAUGACAUCAGGAAAAGAGAAAUGGAAGCUAGCAGCGCCAAAGGAAGAGCUGAGACUCUGAUUGUCUGUCUAGUGUCCACUGCAGAUAAGGAACUUGAAGUGCAUAUGGCCAAUAUAGCUAAAUUAGCUUGUACUACUCCUGAAGGGCGUUGUUUUGUUUGUCUUUUUCUUCUGAAAUCUGGACCAGAUGGUCUUGCAUGCUGUGAAUAUAUGGUGUUGUAAACAGUUGUCAAUGAGCACAUUGUAAUUUCUACUUAUCAGAUUAGGUACAGUGAUCUCAUAUGAAUACAUAUUUCCAGAUUUCAUCA